CUUUGAUUUAAACUAUAAAUCUAAUGUUCUAAAUUAUAAACUACUUUCCUCCCAAAGUUGGUUUGGCCUACACCCAGGAAUAAACAAGGACAGUUUGAAGGUUAGAAG